rnacentral:tRNA from 1 species
GGGGAAGUCAUCUAGCUUGGUCUAGGAUUUAUCCUUGGGGUGGAUAACACCUGGGUUCAAAUCCCAGCUUCCCCA